GCCUUGUUGCAAACAGUUAAUGUGCUCGGCUGCUAUCCAAAAGGUUGGUGGUUCAAGUCCACCCAGAGGCU
rnacentral:tRNA from 1 species